UGGGGAAUUGUUCACAAUGGGCGCAAGCCUGAUGACGCAACGCCGCGUGGAGGAUGAAGGUCUUCGGAUUGUAAACUCCUGUUGCUCGGGACGAAAAGCUCUGACCCAACACGUCAGAGUCUGACGGUACCGAGUGAGGAAGCCCCGGCUAACUCUGUGCCAGCAGCCGCGGUAAUACAGAGGGGGCAAGCGUUGUUCGGAAUUACUGGGCGUAAAGGGCGCGUAGGCGGCCCUCUAAGUCAGACGUGAAAUCCCCGGGCUCAACCCGGGAACUGCGUCUGAUACUGGAGGGCUUGAAUCCGGGAGAGGGAUGCGGAAUUCCAGGUGUAGCGGUGAAAUGCGUAGAUAUCUGGAGGAACACCGGUGGCGAAGGCGGCAUCCUGGACCGGUAUUGACGCUGAGGCGCGAAAGCCAGGGGAGCAAACGGGAUUAGAUACCCGCGUAGUCCCUGAGCGGGCUGGCAAGGCGCAU
rnacentral:rRNA from 1 species